GGUGACUGUAGUUCAGUUGGUUAGAAUACUGGCUUGUGAAUCCAGUGGUCGUGGGUUCAACCCCCAUCAGUCACCUCCA
rnacentral:tRNA from 1 species